rnacentral:misc_RNA from 1 species
CUUCAUUUUCGGGAUGCAUGCCUAGUGGUUGAUGAUAUGGCCGUUGUUUUUGCUAUUGUGGAGGGAGAUGUGGACUUGAUUUGUCAUGGGUCUCUCUCUCAUUCUGGAUAUUCGUCUCCUUUUGUCAAGGGCUUGGCAAGUUCACAUUCAGCAUGUCUACGGUGAAGUCAAUUUUUGUGCUGAUUGGCUUUCACAUAGGGCUCAUCAUUUCCCUUGGAUUUAACCAAACUCCAGAACCUACCGAGUGGUGUUCUUCUGAUCUUGCAACAGGAUGUGGUUGGGUUAGCCUUUCAAGAUAUAUCCCGGGUUGAUCUUUGUUUUUCACCUUUUCUCUUCCCAAAAUAAAAAGAAAAA